rnacentral:ncRNA from 1 species
CAAAAUCAGCGGGGAAAGAAGACCCUGUUGAGCUUGACUCUAGUCUGAGUCUGUGAAGAGACAUUGAAGGUGCAGCACAGGUGGGAGGCUCGCAAGGGCCGGUAGUGAAAUACCACUACUUUGAUCGUUUCUUUACUUAUUCGGUGAAGCGGAAGGAACGGUCGAUGCGACGCAGUCUGACGACACGCGUCGACUGCCGCGUUUGGUGCCAAGUCAACAGGACACGUGCCCGCGCUGACGGCGGUGGCACGUGCCGCGCCAACGCACUUCCAAGUGCGUCGAGCUGUCCAGGACGAUCCGCUCCGAAGACAGUGUCAUGUGGGGAGUUUGACUGGGGCGGUACAUCUGUUAAUUGGUAGCGCAGGUGUCCCAAGGUGAGCUCAGCGAGGACAGAAACCUCGCCUAGAGUAAACGGGCAAAAGCUCACUUGAUUUUGAUUUCCAGUACGAAUAGAGACCGCGAAAGCGUGGUCCAUCGAUCCUUUUGAUUUUUGCGGAUUUCAUGCAAGAGGUGUCAGAAAAGUUACCACAGGGAUAACUGGCUUGUGGCAAACAAGCGUCCAUAGCGACAUUGCCUUUUUGAUCCUUCGAUGUCGGCUCUUCCUAUCAUUGCGAAGCAGAAUUCGCCAAGCGUUGGAUUGUUCACCCACCAAUAGGGAACGUGAGCUGGGUUUAGACCGUCGUGAGACAGGUUAGUUUUACCCUACUGAUUACUGAUCGUCGCAUUAGUAAUCCUGCUCAGUAUGAGAGGAACCGCAGGAUCAGACAUUUGGUUCAUGCGCUUGGCUGAAAGGCCAGUGGCGCGAAGCUACCAUCUGAAAGAUAAUGACUGAACGCCUCUAAGUCAGAAUCUUGCCUAUCAAUUGGCGACGAUACGCUGCCUCCGAAUUGUUGCGAGGUCGACGCUAGACCAGCCGUGCUGGUCUUGCAGAUAAAGCCGUGCUGCCGAUUGUGAUGGCAGCGCCGUCUGUUAGCAUGAUCAGGAUGCUGCGACGGCGGCGAAACCAGUAGUUACCGUAGGGUGAAACAGCAGUCGGACAGCAGAGCUAUCCGCAGACGACGGAGUUACCGGUUGAGGUGUCGUGAUCAGUAGAGCAGUUGCAACACUGCGAUUUGUUGAGACUUUGCCUUUCAUUGGAUUGCUC